rnacentral:rRNA from 1 species
UGGGGAAUAUUGCGCAAUGGGGGGAACCCUGACGCAGCCAUGCCGCGUGAAUGAAGAAGGCCUUAGGGUUGUAAAGUUCUUUCGGUAUUGAGGAAGGUUGAUGUGUUAAUAGCACAUCAAAUUGACGUUAAAUACAGAAGAAGCACCGGCUAACUCCGUGCCAGCAGCCGCGGUAAUACGGAGGGUGCGAGCGUUAAUCGGAAUAACUGGGCGUAAAGGGCACGCAGGCGGUUAUUUAAGUGAGGUGUGAAAGCCCCGGGCUUAACCUGGGAAUUGCAUUUCAGACUGGGUAACUAGAGUACUUUAGGGAGGGGUAGAAUUCCACGUGUAGCGGUGAAAUGCGUAGAGAUGUGGAGGAAUACCGAAGGCGAAGGCAGCCCCUUGGGAAUGUACUGACGCUCAUGUGCGAAAGCGUGGGGAGCAAACAGGAUUAGAUACCCUGGUAGUCCACGCUGU